UUUUUUUUUCCCCUCAGGAAGUCAUUAUUUUUUCAAAAAAAUGUUUCACGUUCAACACCAUCUAAUUAGAGAAAUACUGAAAUCUCUGGUCAUGUAUUGCAGUAGAAUAAGUUUUCAAUUUAAAUUUGAGCCUUACUAAUUUCAGUGGGCAAGUAUCCAGUCAUAUCACCACUCCCAGCUUCAGGCUUUUGCCUGAUGAUCUAACAGUCCUAAGAGCAGUUCAUAUUAGAAUUCAAUCUGAUCUCCUGAAGAAAUUAUAUAAAUGUAGUCUUUCAUUGCAUAUGAGAUAACACUACCUAAGUUUGAGCCACUUUAUUCAGCUGCUCUGAGCUCACUGAUCAAUGAAAUUCAACUGAAAACUCGCAACACUGAAGUUGAAGUGAUCAGUUUUGUUAAAAACUUUUAGUGAGACAGACAUGAAACCAUUAUGUUUCACUGAGAAAAGAAACUUCAGUGAAAAGCUGCAUCUCACUCAGCAUCAAAGGCUACGUCUGUAUCAACAGAAAGAAGUAAAGAACAAGUGCUGGUGACCAUCCACAAAAUGCAUACAGUUUAUAAGUAUAUUGCUCUAAUUUGUUUCUGUGAAUUGAUUGCUUAUUUGAAUUGGAAGUAUAUUAGUUUCAGUCCUGGACUAUUUUUUGUUUUUUUUUUAAUCCAAAAGGAAUCUAUUUCAGAGACCCUAAAAGCACGCAUAUAUUCACCUAAGGAACUCAAUCACAGAUGUAAACCUUAUGAAAGAAGUCACAUUCGUUCUACAUUCUCUCUUUACAACAUUCCUCGUGGGGAUGAACGAUAGUUCAUUGGCUACGGAAGUGGUAAGGUCUCAAUGGGAAGUCAAAAGAGAGGCAACUGGUUCCUUCUGCAUAAAAUCAAAUUAUCAGUUUGCAGGUCUGACUUUUGAUAGAUGUCUUCCCCAUAUAAUACAUAUUUUCCAGUUUCUUAUACAAUGCAAAAGAAGGAAGCAUCAUUUUUUCACUUGUAAGUAUUGUCUAAAGAGAGAGAAACACAAGUAA
rnacentral:lncRNA from 1 species